rnacentral:rRNA from 1 species
GAUGAACGCUGGCGGCGUGCCUAAUACAUGCAAGUCGAGCGAACAGACGAGGAGCUUGCUCCUCUGACGUUAGCGGCGGACGGGUGAGUAACACGUGGAUAACCUACCUAUAAGACUGGGAUAACUUCGGGAAACCGGAGCUAAUACCGGAUAAUAUAUUGAACCGCAUGGUUCAAUAGUGAAAGACGGUUUUGCUGUCACUUAUAGAUGGAUCCGCGCCGCAUUAGCUAGUUGGUAAGGUAACGGCUUACCAAGGCGACGAUGCGUAGCCGACCUGAGAGGGUGACCGGCCACACUGGAACUGAGACACGGUCCAGACUCCUACGGGAGGCAGCAGUAGGGAAUCUUCCGCAAGGGGCGAAAGCCUGACGGAGCAACGCCGCGUGAGUGAUGAAGGUCUUCGGAUCGUAAAACUCUGUUAUUAGGGAAGAACAAAUGUGUAAGUAACUAUGCACGUCUUGACGGUACCUAAUCAGAAAGCCACGGCUAACUACG